GUAGUUUGUCUGGCAUCGCUGUGAACGUGCGUCUUUGUGGAUAUGUUCCUGAACGUAUAGAGCUCUGGCAAGGCAAGCCUCGUCAUUACAACGCCUGCAAGAAUCUGGACAUCAAAAACUGUGGUGCAAGUUUAAUGUUAGGACAUGGAGUAGCUAGUGUUGUGUGUGUGUGUGUGUGUGUGUGUGCGCGGUGUUGCGCAACGUCUGACUGGGGCUUUCGAGCUACGCAUACAAGUUCGGAUCCUUGGUUGCAGAAACUUGGUCCGCGAUCAGUUCCCAUCUACAGUGGACUGGAAUG